rnacentral:rRNA from 1 species
AUUGAACGCUGGCGGCAUGCUUUACACAUGCAAGUCGAACGGUAACAGGCCGCAAGGUGCUGACGAGUGGCGAACGGGUGAGUAAUGCAUCGGAACGUGCCCAGUCGUGGGGGAUAACGCAGCGAAAGCUGCGCUAAUACCGCAUACGAUCUAUGGAUGAAAGCGGGGGACCGUAAGGCCUCGCGCGAUUGGAGCGGCCGAUGUCAGAUUAGGUAGUUGGUGGGGUAAAGGCUCACCAAGCCGACGAUCUGUAGCUGAUCUGAGAGGACGACCAGCCACACUGGGACUGAGACGCGGCCCAGACUCCUACGGGAGGCAGCAGUGGGGAAUUUUGGACAAUGGGCGCAAGCCUGAUCCAGCAAUGCCGCGAGCAGGAAGAAGGCCUUCGGGUUGUAAACUGCUUUUGUACGGAACGAAACGGUCUGGAUUAAUACCCUGGGCUAAUGACGGUACCGUAAGAAUAAGCACCGGCUAACUACGUGCCAGCCGCCGCCGUAACAC